rnacentral:rRNA from 1 species
CCCGCCUGCCCUGUGACCAAAAGUUUAACGGCCGCGGUAUUUUAACCGUGCAAAGGUAGCGCAAUCAAUUGUCUUUUAAAUGGAGACCUGUAUGAAUGGCAUAACGAGGGUUUAACUGUCUCUUUUUUCCAGUCAAUGAAACUGAUCUGCCCGUGCAGAAGCGGACAUACUUACACAAGACGAGAAGACCCUAUGGAGCUUUAGACGCCCACCAACUAUGAAAAGUAACCAUGUCAACGGAACUCCAAACAACAUACCCCUGGUACAAACGUCUUCGGUUGGGGCGACCACGGGGGAAAACGAAGCCCCCGAGAGGAUAGGGGAACACCCUAAAACCAAGAACUACAAUUCUAAGUCACAAAAUGUUUGACCAAUUAAUGAUCCGGCUUACGCCGAUCAACGGACCAAGUUACCCUAGGGAUAACAGCGCAAUCCCCUCCCAGAGUCCAUAUCGACGAGAGGGUUUACGACCUCGAUGUUGGAUCAGGACAUCCUAAUGGUGCAGCCGCUAUUAAGGGUUCGUUUGUUCAACGAUUAAAGUCCU